UACAGAGGCCCCAAGCGUUAUCCGGAAUCACUGGGCGUAAAGGGUGUGUAGGUUGUUUUAUUAGUCUUUUGUGAAAGCACCGGGCUCAACCCGGGACACGCAAAAGAAACGGUAAGACUAGAGGAUGUGAGAGGUGUGCGGAACUCAUGGUGUAGGGGUGAAAUCCGUUGAUAUCAUGGGGAACACCAAAUGCGAAGGCAGCACACUGGCACACUCCUGACACUGAAACACGAAAGCGUAGGUAGCGAAUGGG
rnacentral:rRNA from 1 species